rnacentral:tmRNA from 1 species
GGGGGCGUUUUUUCUGGUUUCGACCGGAAGCAUGGAUUCCUAAGCGCAUGUCGAGGUGCGGUCACCUCGUAAACAAGCCGUAAAAAAAUAGUCGCAAACGACGAAACCUACGCAUUAGCAGCUUAAUAACCUGCUCGAUGCCCUCGGCUCUAAGCCUUUCUAGUGACGCUUAGAAAUCCGGGGUCGGUUUUUCACUAGAUCGUGUGGACGCUCCGUCUGAAGCUGAAGCAUUAAAGAAUCCCCUCAGACUGGGCACAUGGUGGCGUGGCUAUCCGCAGCCGGUGUCGAGAUUAAAGACAGCCUAAACAUGUAGUGCUGAAGAUGAAGUCUUUUGGGACGAGGGUUCGAUUCCCUCCGCCUCCACCA